AGCGAACGCUGGCGGCGUGCCUAACACAUGCAAGUCGAGCGAGAAAGGGGGUGCAACACCCUGAGUAAAGCGGCGAACGGGUGAGUAACGCGUGGGCAAUCUACCUUCCAGUCUGGGAUAACCGUUCCGAAAGGGGGGCUAAUACCGGAUGAUGUCCUGUUGGGCAUCCUGGAGGGGAGCAAAGGGGGCGACCCGCAAGGGGCUCUCGCUGGAGGAGGAGCCUGCGUCCGAUUAGCUAGNGGUGGGGUAACGGCUCACCAAGGCGACGAUCGGUAGCCGGCCUGAGAGGGUGACCGGCCACACUGGGACUGAGACACGGGCCCAGACUCCUACGGGAGGCAGCAGUGGGGAAUCGUUGACGCAAUGGGCGAAAGCCUGACGCAGCGACGCCGC
rnacentral:rRNA from 1 species